UGAACGCUGGCGGCGUGCCUAAUACAUGCAAGUCGAGCGAACGGACGAGAAGCUUGCUUCUCUGAUGUUAGCGGCGGACGGGUGAGUAACACGUGGAUAACCUACCUAUAAGACUGGGAUAACUUCGGGAAACCGGGGCUAAUACCGGAUAAUAUUUUGAACCGCAUGGUUCAAAAGUGAAAGACGGUCUUGCUGUCACUUAUAGAUGGAUCCGCGCUGCAUUAGCUAGUUGGUAAGGUAACGGCUUACCAAGGCAACGAUGCAUAGCCGACCUGAGAGGGUGAUCGGCCACACUGGAACUGAGACACGGUCCAGACUCCUACGGGAGGCAGCAGUAGGGAAUCUUCCGCAAUGGGCGAAAGCCUGACGGAGCAACGCCGCGUGAGUGAUGAAGGUCUUCGGAUCGUAAAACUCUGUUAUUAGGGAAGAACAUAUGUGUAAGUAACUGUGCACAUCUUGACGGUACCUAAUCAGAAAGCCACGGCUAACUACGUG
rnacentral:rRNA from 1 species